CAGCCGCGCGGCAAUACCGGCGGCCCGAGUGGCGGUCACUAUUAUUGGGCUUAAAGCGUCCGUAGCCGGGUUGGGAAGUCCUCCGGGAAAUCUGGCCGCUUAACGGUCAGAAUGCCGGAGGAUACUCCCAGCCUAGGGAGCGGGAGAGGCCGAGGGGAUUCCCGGGGUAGGGGUGAAAUCCUAUAAUCCCGGGAGGACCACCUGUGGCGAAGGCGCUCGGCUGGAACGCGUCCGACGGUGAGGGACGAAGGCCAGGGGAGCAAACCGGAUUAGAUACCCGGGUAGUCCUGGCUGUAAACGAUGCGGACUUUGUGUCGGACAAGCUAUGAGCUUGUCCGGUGCCGGAGGGAAACCGUUAAGUCCGCCGCCUGGGGAGUACGGCCGCAAGGCUGAAACUUAAAGGAAUUGGCGGG
rnacentral:rRNA from 1 species